rnacentral:rRNA from 1 species
AUCAGUGGGUGAUUCCGCGUCUUUGCACUUAACUCAGCCGUCAUGAGUUUGCGCCACGGUGGAUUUUGCACCGUGCAGACUUAGGGAUCCCUUUUAUUAGGUGACGAUGAUGGAUUUGACACGAUUAGACCCGUCUUAAACUCGGACCAAGGAGUCUAGCGUACCUGCGAGUCAAAGGGUUACCGAAACCUGAGGGCGCAGUGAAAGCGAAUUUAUUACAAAAUGGUGCAAUUUGUGGCGGCAUACGAUCGUUGAUCGUAAGUCCGACCUAGAGCAGUUAUGCUAGGACCCGAAAGAUGGUGAACUAUGCUUGAGUAGGGCGAAGCCAGAGGAAACUCUGGUGGAGGCUCGUAGCGGUGCUGACGUGCAAAUCGCUCGUCAAACUUGGGUAUAGGGGCGAAAGACUAAUCGAACCAUCUAGUAGCUGGUUUCCUCCGAAGUUUCUCUCAGGAUAGCAGGCUCAAAUAUUGGAUUGUCGUGUGUGGUAAAGCGAAUGAUUAGCAUACUCGGGGACGUUUAGUCUUCGGAUGAUUCUCAAACUUUAAAUGCGCACGGAUGUUGCCGCUUGGGUGGGCGGCAUCUCUAGAAACUUGAGCUUUGUGGGCCACUUUUGGUAAGCAGAACUGGCGAUACGGGAUGAACCGUAAGUGUGGUUAAGGCGUCAAAUUGUCCGCUUAUAGAUUCCAAAAAAGGUGUUGAUUCAUCGAGACAGCAGGACGGUGGCCAUGGAAGUCGGAAUCCGCUAAGGAGUGUGUAACAACUCACCUGCCGAAUGAAUUAGCCCUGAAAAUGGAUGACGCUAAAGCGGGCAGCCGACACCACACCGUUUGGGAAAAAAUUGAAAAUAAAAACUCAAAUGAGUAGGAGGAACGUGGCGGUCGUGUUGAAGCGUGCGUGCAAACGUGCGUGGAACGGCCGCUAGUGCAGAUCUUGGUGUUAGUAGCAAAUAUUCAAACGAGAACCUUGAAGGGCGAAGCGGGGAAGGGUUCCACGCGAACAUUGAUUGAGCGUGGGUAAGUCGUUCCUAAGCCGCGUGGCAAUAGCUAAUUACCGGCGAAAGGGAAGCAGGUUGAUAUUCCUGCACACGGAUGUGGAAGCGGUGACGCAUACUUGGGACGGUGAAGCUGGCGAUGGCUCUGGGCAGAGUUUUCUUUUCUGUUUAACUUGUCUGUGCUCGCAGUGUGGAAUCCGCUUGUCGGGAGAAACACGCGAGUCUGGGAAUAGCGCCGGGUUUUUUUCCGGCGUCCAGAACGCCAUCGUCGGACCUUGAAAAACUGUCUGCAGGCAUCAUUAUUGCAAUGUUGUCGAUAG